rnacentral:lncRNA from 1 species
GGACUUACGUAAUUCACUGGUGUGGUAGCACUGUAGAGCAGUAACCUUAUCAACGUUAAAUAUUAUAUGUUCUUAGCUCAGUUAUAUAGAAAAGUUGAAGUAUAAAAUUUGGAGAUGAUUGAAAAGAUUACACCGCUAACUACUAUACUAACGGUUUGGAUCGGCUGGAUAAUGUAUACAACAACGUUCGAUUAUCGAAGACAUCGCUUCUGCACAAUGCCUUUUACGUAUACCUCUUAUAAUUCUGAUGCUCGCAAAAGAGAAGUGGAAGUAUUGGGUAGAGUGUACAAAUUCGGAGACAAUCUAAGCAUGAAAGAAGGAAAGUGAAGCAUAAAAGUUCUUUAUAUCAUUAUAAUAUAUUUAAUAGUAUAUAUGUAUAUAUCAAGAAUUAUAGCUGUUGUAGUUAUAACAACAUUCAAUAAACCACAAUAUGAAAAAUAUA